UACAGAGGGGGCAAGCGUUGUUCGGAAUUACUGGGCGUAAAGGGCGCGUGGGCGGCCUGUUAAGUCGGACGUGAAAUCCCUCGGCUCAACCGGGGAACUGCGUCCGAUACUGGCGGGCUUGAAUUCGGGAGAGGGAUGUGGAAUUCCAGGUGUAGCGGUGAAAUGCGUAGAUAUCUGGAGGAACACCGGUGGCGAAGGCGGCAUCCUGGACCGACAUUGACGCUGAGGCGCGAAAGCCAGGGGAGCAAACGGG
rnacentral:rRNA from 1 species